GCGGCAGGUAGCCUAGUGGUUAGUGAGUAGGGGCGGCAGGUAGCCUAGUGGUUAGAGAGUAGGGGCGGCAGGUAGCCUAGUGGUUAGAGUGUAGGGGCGGCAGGUAGCCUAGUGGUUAGAGUGUAGGGGCGGCAGGUAGCCUAGUGGUUAGAGAGUAGGGGGCGGCCUAGGUUAGCCUAGUGGUUAGAGAGUAGGGGCGGCAGGUAGCCUAGUGGUUAGAGAGUAGGGGCGGCAGGUAGCCUAGUGGUUAGAGUGUAGGGGCGGCAGGUAGCCUAGUGGUUAGAGAGUAGGGGCGGCAGGUAGCCUAGUGGUUAGAGUGUAGGGGCGGCAGGUAGCCUGGUGGUUAGAGAGUAGGGGCGGCAGGUAGCCUAGUGGUUAGAGCGUUGGG
ensembl:lncRNA